UACGAAGGGGGCUAGCGUUGCUCGGAAUCACUGGGCGUAAAGCGCACGUAGGCGGAUCUUUAAGUCAGGGGUGAAAUCCUGGAGCUCAACUCCAGAACUGCCUUUGAUACUGGGGAUCUCGAGUCCGGGAGAGGUGAGUGGAACUCCGAGUGUAGAGGUGAAAUUCGUAGAUAUUCGGAAGAACACCAGUGGCGAAGGCGGCU
rnacentral:rRNA from 1 species